GUAAAAUUAAUAUAGUUUGUAAUAAUAAAUUAUUAUAAUAAUAAAUAAUUAAUUAGAUUAAAAAUAAAUUAUUAAUUAAAAAUAAUAAGUAUUAUACUUUAAAUUAGUAUAUUCUACU
rnacentral:tRNA from 2 species